rnacentral:rRNA from 1 species
GAUGAACGCUGGCGGCGUGCCUAAUACAUGCAAGUCGAGCGAACGGACGAGAAGCUUGCUUCUCUGAUGUUAGCGGCGGACGGGUGAGUAACACGUGGAUAACCUACCUAUAAGACUGGGAUAACUUCGGGAAACCGGAGCUAAUACCGGAUAAUAUUUUGAACCGCAUGGUUCAAAAGUGAAAGACGGUCUUGCUGUCACUUAUAGAUGGAUCCGCGCUGCAUUAGCUAGUUGGUAAGGUAACGGCUUACCAAGGCAACGAUGCAUAGCCGACCUGAGAGGGUGAUCGGCCACACUGGAACUGAGACACGGUCCAGACUCCUACGGGAGGCAGCAGUAGGGAAUCUUCCGCAAUGGGCGAAAGCCUGACGGAGCAACGCCGCGUGAGUGAUGAAGGUCUUCGGAUCGUAAAACUCUGUUAUUAGGGAAGAACAUAUGUGUAAGUAACUGUGCACAUCUUGACGGUACCUAAUCAGAAAGCCACGGCUAACUACGUGCCAGCAGCCGCGGCAAUACGUAGGUGGCAAGCGUUAUCCGGAAUUAUUGGGCGUAAAGCGCGCGUAGGCGGUUUUUUAAGUCUGAUGUGAAAGCCCACGGCUCAACCGUGGAGGGUCAUUAGAAACUGGAAAACUUGAGUGCAGAAGAGGAAAGUGGAAUUCCAUGUGUAGCGGUGAAAUGCGCAGAGAUAUGGAGGAACACCAGUGGCGAAGGCGACUUUCUGGUCUGUAACUGACGCUGAUGUGCGAAAGCGUGGGGAUCAAACAGGAUUAGAUACCCUGGUAGUCCACGCCGUAAACGAUGAGUGCUAAGUGUUAGGGGGUUUCCGCCCCUUAGUGCUGCAGCUAACGCAUUAAGCACUCCGCCUGGGGAGUACGACCGCAAGGUUGAAACUCAAAGGAAUUGACGGGGACCCGCACAAGCGGUGGAGCAUGUGGUUUAAUUCGAAGCAACGCGAAGAACCUUACCAAAUCUUGACAUCCUUUGACAACUCUAGAGAUAGAGCUUUCCCCUUCGGGGGACAAAGUGACAGGUGGUGCAUGGUUGUCGUCAGCUCGUGUCGUGAGAUGUUGGGUUAAGUCCCGCAACGAGCGCAACCCUUAAGCUUAGUUGCCAUCAUUAAGUUGGGCACUCUAAGUUGACUGCCGGUGACAAACCGGAGGAAGGUGGGGAUGACGUCAAAUCAUCAUGCCCCUUAUGAUUUGGGCUACACACGUGCUACAAUGAACAAUACAAAGGGCAGCGAAACCGCGAGGUCAAGCAAAUCCCAUAAAGUUGUUCUCAGUUCGGAUUGUAGUCUGCAACUCGACUACAUGAAGCUGGAAUCGCUAGUAAUCGUAGAUCAGCAUGCUACGGUGAAUACGUUCCCGGGUCU